rnacentral:rRNA from 1 species
ACUCAAAUGAAUUGACGGGGGCCCGCACAAGCAGCGGAGCGUGUGGUUUAAUUCGAUGCGACGCGAAGAACCUUACCUAGACUUGACAUGGCCUAGUAAAGCCUGGAAACAGGUUCCUCCUUCGGGACUGGGUCACAGAUGUUGCAUGGCUGUCGUCAGCUCGUGUCGUGAGAUGUUGGGUUAAGUCCCGCAACGAGCGCAACCCUCGUGGUCUGUUGUAUGUUUCAGGCCAGACUGCCCCCAAAAGGGGAGGAAGGUGGGGAUGACGUCAAGUCCGCAUGGCUCUUACGUCUAGGGCUACACACACGCUACAAUGGCCGGUACAAUGCGCAGCCACACCGCGAGGUGGAGCGAAUCGCCAAAACCGGUCUCAGUUCGGAUGGUAGGCUGCAACUCGCCUGCCUGAAGUCGGAGUUGCUAGUAACCGCGUGUCAGCAUAGCGCGGUGAAUAUGUUCCCGGGCCUUGCACACACCGCCCGU